rnacentral:rRNA from 1 species
GGCCGCGGUAUUUUAACCGUGCUAAGGUAGCGUAAUCACUUGUCUUUUAAAUGAGGACCUGUAUGAAUGGCAUCACGAGGGCUCAACUGUCUCCUUCCCCCAGUCAAUGAAAUUGAUCUCCCCGUGCAGAAGCGGGGAUGAGUACAUAAGACGAGAAGACCCUUUGGAGCUUCAGACACCCGAGCAGACCAAGUCCCUGCCCCUAAAUAAAAAGGAGAAACCUAUUGGCCAACUGCUCGCGUCUUUGGUUGGGGUGACCACGGGGAAAAAAGCAACCCCCAUGUGGAAUGGAAGAACCUUACUAAUCUCUCUUCUAUAACCAAGACCCACCGGUCUAAGUUUCAGAGACUUCUGACCAAUCUGUAAAGAUCCGGCAUAUGCCGAUUAACGAACCGAGUUACCCUAGGGAUAACAGCGCAAUCCCCUUAUAGAGCCCCUAUCGACAAGGGGGUUUACGACCUCGAUGUUGGAUCAGGGCAUCCUAAUGGUGAAACUGCUAUUGAAGGUUCGUUUGUUCAAC